rnacentral:lncRNA from 1 species
UGCCUAUCUUGUGUCUGUGGCUGGGUACCCUUUCUUUUAUGAAGGUCAUUUUGGACCAUCUUUAUGACAUGUAUAUUUAGAUAAAUGAAACAUGCCGGUGCUAAGAGAGACAGCCAGGGUUAUAAUUCAAUUCCAAAGAUUUUCACUGAUGAGAAAUUACUAUGGAGCCUUUUUUACUCUUGAAACUAUAGGUUGCAUCUGCAGUAGGGAUGUCAACAAGGACGUAUACCCGCAUAUAUUACCCAUCCCCAAACUGAAUGGAGCAGUUUUAACCAAAAUUGAAUGGGUAUAGUUUCGGUAAUGGUUUUAAAAAUUAAAAAAAUGUUUGGUUUUGGUUUCGAUUUUGGUGAAUUGUCUGACCCAUACCCGAUCUAACACUGAACCCAAAACCGAACCUAACACCAAACCUGGCCCUAAACCCGAAAACGAAACAUACUUGAAAAUUAAUACCCUUAAUACCUUUUAUAUUUAGUGUAAAUUCAAAUUAGGAACUCCAUGAGAUAGUAGUGAAGAUGACUCUUAUGUUGAUUAGGUAAUCUAUAGAACCUUGCUUGGUAUUAAAAAAAUUGUAGACUUUAAAUAAAUGGUUGUAAAUUAUAUUAUAAAUUAUUUUAUUAAUUGAGCAUGUUUUUCUUGUAUUCCUUUUCCUUCUCUUAGGCAUAAUAUGUUCAUGGAUUGGAGAAGACAAAAUGGAGGAUUCGAUUAUUCACUAAAAUUCUCUUGUAUUGAAAAAUUUAUCAUUAUGUUUUCUUUGAUAUAGUUGGACAUGUUUAUAACUUGGAUUAUUGUAUUUGUUGGAUGGUCGUAUUAUUAUUUUUGAAUUAUUGAGUCUGUUUGAUGGUGGUGUUAUUAGUUUGGAUAUACUUAUUAGUUGAGUUGGUAUGAAUUAUAUUAUGAAACUACUACUAUCUGGUCAGCUAAUGCUUGAGUUUCUUGCUCCCUAGCAUUCUUCUUGUCAUUCUCUCUCUUUUCCUGUGGUUUUUUCUAGCUCACAGAAAAAUUCUAGGCCAUCUAAUUGUCAUGCACUAGCCUUGUGAGAAGCAGCAGCAACAAUAUCAAAUGCACAACUACUUCUGCAUCAUAGCCUAGGCCUUUAGCUACUUCACCUGUCUUCACUAACAUCGUAUCACUAAGCUCCAGAUUCUCCAAUAAGGAUUUUCCAAACAUCAUGAUCACUAUAGUUCCACGUGGCUCUCCAGGUAUCUAUGGUUUUAUACUCGAUUAAAUUGGGCAACAGUUCUGAUCGAGAAAACAAAAGAUUUCUAGUCACCAUAUAUUUCAGGCUUAGUAGAUACUAAUCCCUAAAACCCUUGUUCUACAGCAUAUUUGCAUAAAAAUCUGCUAGAUUAUGGAAAAGUCAAAUGUGAACCUAGAAUACUAUUUCUCGAACCAAAAUUCUUACUAAGACAUUAGUUCUUCUCCCUAGUUUUUCUUAACCCCAGAUCCCAUCUCCCAUUAUGGAACCUUCCCUCGAAACCAUAGGAAACCUCUUCUCCUUUCCCUUGUUAACCAUAAAUCUUAGAUUUUUCCAGAUAUGUCUAAUCUUUGCUAAGGACAGCAAGCCACUAGUAUCAUUAGAAUCCUGAUAGAACCCUUCUUCCUUCAGCCUAACAUUAACCACAUAGGACUUUCACAACUUAGGAUCUUGUGUGAUCUUGGUCAGAGCCAAAACCUUGCUUUAGAUUCUUUUUUAUCCAUCAUAAUGGUGUCAAAUUCAGGGUUCACACUAGGUUUGAUUGUUUAUAUGAAGAUUAUAAGAGCAGAAUUAAUUGUUAGAUUUGCUGAACCCAUGGAUGAUAUUCAUAGUUUGACACCUGCCCUAAAAAGUACACUGGAUGUUGGUAUUGCAGUUGUCAGAGAUGGCAAAAUUAGUAGACCAGAGAAGCAUGUUGCUGUGGAACAGGCCCUCAUUUCAACCCCCUAAUUUUUAAUCCUAUGAAAGUUAAUUACUGGUACCAAUACCCAUACUGGUACCCAACUGGUAUAGUGUUGGUACAAUACCAACUUGGUACUGGGGGGGGAGGGGGGGGGGGGGGGGUGGAGGCGUACUGUAUUGAUUUCCCACUGGCACAAAUCAGUAUGCCUAGUACAAGACUUAAAACCAUAAUACUUUGACUUGAUUACUUCCUGAAGUUCUAGUUUUCAUAAGAAUGAUGACUUGUAGAUAUGGACUAAGGAGCCAAACCGGAAGUCGAGCAUUAUCCAGAUGUGCUUCUCAAUUGGCUGCUCCGCAUGGGCAACUUCCAAAGUGUUGCUUGAUACAUCAAAAAUACCUUUUCUUUCUGGUAGAGAAACAGUAAGGAGCAACUAGAGUUGAUGGGCAAUAUAACCCAAAAGUCAUUAUGUACCUGCAAAAUUUUGGGAUGAAAUGACAAGAAUGAAGAUUCAUUGCUUUGUGCCUCCAUUUUAUGAGCCAUGCUUACAUGUUUCUAGUGCAAGGGAGCACAAUGGUUUGAGUAUACAACUAAAUUUGACAAACAACAAGAUAAAGGGCCGAAUUCUCAGCUACUGGCUGCUAGUAGGCUAUAAACCAUGGUUCAUUCAGUUGAUUACUAGAUGGAAUAAGAGAUAAAGUGAGCACUUGCCACAGCUUAAGGAUUUGCUAGGAGUAAAAAGGCUAGCUGGGUACCAAACCCAGAACAGAUAUCACACUGUUUUUUUUUCCCAAAUAUAUACUAGCUGGUUCUUCUAUAUAUUCCAGUGUUUGAGUGCUUUAUAUCUAAUUCCAAGACUAGAGUGCAGAUUCAUAGCAGCGCAUGUAAAAUUUUUUCACAUUUUUCAGCCUAGUGCCUGAAUCAAUUGGUUCUGCUCACCAAAAAGGCUGUCUUUAUGGCCUCUACCAAUACAAACCAAAAGUCAACAGAAAUUUCCAUUUUGGAAUUUGAAGGAAGAUAACACAAGAACUACCAGAGGAACAAAAUCCUUGCAAUAUCCCCUAACUCUUUCCGUUAUGCUUUUGGAAAACAACAAAGAUCAGCAUAUUUUAUUGCAUUCAUUGCAACGGGCACCUAUACACUGAUUACAGAUUACAUUAACACUAUUUUAGAUGAUGUUCAAAAGUCAGGACUAAAGUCAAAAGCUGAAUCCAAAUCCAUAUGGCGACUAAGGUAAACAUAAAACAAUCUUAAAUUCAUGCUUAUUUUGCUUGACAAUAAUGGCUGAUAUAAUGCACAUGAUAUGCCACUUGCUGAGGUAUAUCAUACCUUCUUAUGUUAACCAUUGUGCUCUAAUCCAAAGCUUCAACAUGUGGCUACUGUACUAAAGUUCACGAAUCACAAGGGCCACAAGUUCAUUCCAAUCCAGUUUCAAUUGAAACCAACAUGUUUCAGCAGCAACAAGGAGGAGAAGAAGAAACAGUGCAUGGUUUAUUCCAACCCCCAUUUCUAAUGGACAGAGACAGAAGAAGAAAUCUGGUCCAUCUCGCAAAAUUAAAAAAGAAAAAGAAAAAAGGAGACAAGACAAGAAAGAAGUGAAGAUGAGGAGGAAAACCAGGGUACUUCCUGGAUGGAAGAAGAACACCUAGUGGGAAAGCCAUGGUGGAAACAUUUGAUCUGCCUCUUUCUCUCCCUUUGUCUGCCUAUUACCCUUUUCGGCAAUAGUGUCUUUUUGCCCCUUCUCUCUUUUGGCCACCAAGCCCCAAAAUCUCAAUCAAACAUGCUUUUCCUGGGCUUUCCUACAAGGUGCCUAAAAAGAUGUUCUUUAGACCAUCAAUGUUGCCUCGCGUUGGUGUACCUUGUGCCUUUGACAAGACUGAGCUACGUAGUGUCAAUUUUGGGUUUUUUCUUUAGGGGGCUUUUAAUUGUUUUCUGUUUAAAUUGCUGCAAUAGGAAUUGUAGUUGCAAAAACUGUAUGUGUUUAGUUGCCUAUAACUGAUGUAUGUGGAACUUGGUUGUUGAUGCUGAACAAGGUGUGAUAACCCUGCAAAUAACCUAGUAAGAUUAACCACUUAGACAUGGUGAACUAUUUUUUUCAUAUAUUAAACCGUCUGUUGUGUUGGUACCGGGCUCCGUAUCGGUUGCCUGGCAGCACAGGUCGGUAUGGCUCUGCGUUGUCAUGCCGGCCUUGUGCCGACACAGUAGAGGCGGGAGAGAGGGCGAACAGGAGAGAGGAAGGGAGGGAGGGAGGAGAGGUCGGCCGGCCUCCGCGCAGAGGAGGCGGAGGCUCCCCACCUGACCUCUCUCCUCCCUCUCCCUCUCCCUCUCCCUUCCCUGCUCUCUAUUUUUUUCUCUUUUUUCUUCUCCCCCUCCGGCGACGGGGUCUCGGUUUGUUGCCGGAACCGUCCUAAUCCGUCACUGGUAUGGCUUGGGAUGCUCCAAACCGGAUGGUUUGAGACGGUUCUGUUAGAUGUAUGCCCUAGAAGCCAAUCUGGCUGACACAUUGUUAAUUCUGGAACAUAAUUUUGUACUUGACUAUUUAUUAUUGAAUAAAUAAAAGGCAUCUUUUUCAUUCAUAUUGUUUAUAUGUCUAUGAAUCGUCCAAUGAAUUAAUAAGAUGAUGAUACAUAUUCUCAGGAGUUGAAAAUUUGAGCCAUGUAUCAUUGGUGAUUAAUUUCUAAAUGCUCCUGAUCGAUGGAUCAUCACGAGGACGGUGAUCGAUCCGAUGAGAUCAGUGCACACUUUGCUUUUCUUAUGGAUGGACGAAACUCGAGUCCACGGUGUGGCGACACUGAAGUAAUAGUGCAGGUGCUUGUUAGAGAACAAGGGUACUGAACGUGACCAAGACAAGAAGUCACUUGGAUGUCUAUCCAUUCGUCAGUGACUUGCUUGAUGUUGCAGUAGUGUGACUGGUCCUUUGACAUGCGGUGCUUCGGCUACUCACAGUGAGGUUAUUGUAGUUUGACUGCACGUAUACAUAGUCUCUAGACAUAUGGGUCCAUGCAGUGUAGAUUGGCUGUAGUAGGUUCACUGUAUGAGUAGAGUAUGCACCUAUAUGGAAUCUAUCGACCUUGAUAGAUAAGGAGAGAUCCUAUGUAAUUUAUAAGACUGAGUUCGUAAGACCUCGGCCGGGGCAGUAUACACAGUAGAGAAAGAGUUUUCCACUCUCGAACUUAAGUCAAAUAAAUCUUGACAUAUGACAGACGAUAGGGUUUGACGAGUUGUCCAUGACCUCCGUCCUGUAGGGAUCCAUGAUGGAAGGACUGUAUCAUACGAUAACUGCACCUAGAGGUUCAUCAUUCCAUUCUGCUGGGUAGCUACUACAUGCUGCUAGGUGUCACUGGUGGAUGGUGAGACUCUCAGAGAAUAUCUUGAUGAAUGAUAAACCCUGAUGAGUUGAGUUGGAACUGUUCCAACCCAUUGAAAGAAGUUUUCAAUGAUAUUGUGAUAAGGAUCGCAAUAUAUCUCACUAACAGACAGAAUAGAACCUAUGGGGUCACAUACACUAGAGGUAUUGACCGAUCCGAUGGUUGAAAUGUGAUUAUGAAUCACGAGUAAUCAAUUCGAUUGAUAAUCAGUUGAAGAAGGAACAAUGGGAAUUAAUUAAUUGGACUUAAACACGAAUCCUACUUGGAGUAGGAUUCCUGAAGUCCUAAUUGGAUUAGGACUGGGAGUCCUACUUAGAGUAGGAUUCCUACAAUCCUAAUUAAAUUAGGAUUUUGAAUUCAACUUGGAGUCCUACUUGGAUUAGGAUUCCUAGAAGUCCUAAUUAGAUUAGGACUUCGGAUUCAAAUAAGAGUCCUAAUUGGAUUAGAACUGAAAUUGAAUAAAUCCUAAAUGGAUUAGGAUUUCUUAAGUCUUAAUUAAUUGUUAAUCUAAUGAAUUAACAUAACUCCUAAUUGGAUUAGGAUUGAAGAGUUCAAUUGAGUCAUGAUUCAUUAAGUUCUAAUUGGAUUAGGACUUGCAUGGAUUAAACCCAAAAUGGUUCACCCUUGGACUAAGCCUAAUUAGAUUAGGACUUAGCCACAUUAGGGCCACCCAAUCCUCCUUAGAGGAGGACUAGGGCAACACAAGAGGGAGGGGCGCACGCCCCUCCCCUUUUUCUUUGUUGGUGCGGCAACAAAAGAGGGGCCGACGCCCCUCUUGGAAAAAGAUCAAGGGCUCCUAAUUUGUAGGAGCCCUACAUACCUUUAAAAGGAGAUGAAGGGGCCGGCACCUAGGGCAAUUGAAGUCCCCUUCAUCCAGCCGUGGCCUCCUCCUUCUUCUCCUUGGUCUUCAGCCGCAAGCAAAGAAGGGAAAAGAAAGCUCUUGGCGGCCCCUCCUUCAUCUCUUGUUUGGGUUUCAGCGCAGGCAAGGGAAAAGGCUGCAUCUAGCUUUUGAUUCUUCUUCAAGACUCAUCCUUCUUCCUCCUCCCAAGCAUAAUCAAGGGUUGAUUCAAAGGGAGGAAAUCAGCCAUCUAAAGUAGUCUUUGCAAGGGAGCUAGCACCCCGGGGAGACAAGGAAGCUUUGAACGGUUCUCUACUUCGUGUGGAUACCCGUAAAGGCCGGACGCGUGUGCGGCUUCAAGCAAACUUUCAUCCUAAACCACGAACUUCAGUUUGCGGUGAUCAUCUACCCGCUCAAGGUGAAGAUCUGAUCUUCCUAAUAGUUUAAAAGUUUUUAAUCCUAAUCUAUCUACGAACCGUUUUUGAAAUACAUUCAUGAGAUGAACGUUGAUCCCGCGCAUGCCCAUUCCGCUGCAUCUGAAUUUUUUUUAAAUUUUCUGCGGCAUGGGCGGGUUCCCAACAGUGGUAUCAAAGCCUAGGCUUCGUAAUAUAAGAUUAGGAUUAAUUAUUAAAAGGCGUAUAAGAUCUGAAAUUUGAAAGGUUAUGCAUGCUGAAAUUUUCUGCAUGCAGAAUUUCAGGCAUGCUGAUUUUUGCAUGCUGAUUUUUAUGUGCAUAAGUUGAUGAUUCAAUUGCAUUGUUAAUGAGAUUACAAAGGUUUAGAAUCAUGUAUUGCACAAUCAGCAACUCAUGUGAUGACGUAAUCAAUUAGAUUUCAGAUCUGAAAAUUAUAAUUGUUGCAUGUGGUGAUGAUCAUAGGAUGCAAAUCCUUUUGGUAUCAAAUGUAAAGACCUGCGAUGUGAUCUGUAAUGUCAUGUAAUUUUUCAGAUGCUUGCAUGCAUCUUAUUUGAUGUUUUGAGGGGCCUGCGUGCCUCCUAAAAGGGAUGAAAUUAUUAUCUGGUUGUAUUUCUGUGAUGUAAUGUACGUCAACGAUCAGUCGAAGAUAGUACAUGAGAUGAACGGCGAUCUGAGUGGUUGAUGGCGAUUGGAUCAAGAGUUGAUCAAGGAUUGAAUCAAGGAGGCUCGGGACCAAUUCAAGAGUUAAAGACCAGCUGAUCGAUUGACGUGCAUGUGCUUGUAAUAUGACCUAAUUAGAAUCCAUGAUCAUCACCUAUUUAAAAUUCAGCUUUUAUUUAUUGCUGCAAUUAUAACUGCCUGCAAUGUGCCGUUUGCAUGUGAUGCAAAUGUAAGCGGGGUAGAUAGAUUUACAUAUGAUGCAAUCUAGUAGAGCAAUCCCAAUGAGACCUAAACUAAAACCUCCUCAAUCAGUCGAGAGUGAACCAACAUGAGCGAGUCAUAUUAGAUUAAUUGAUCUAAUUGGUGUCUAGGAAAGCAUGAAAGGUGAUUACUUAAUUAGGACCUUACUCUCUGAGUAAGGGGAGCCUUCCACCUGCUUACCUAGCUAAUUGUUCGAUUACCUCUUAUGAAGAGCUCAAGGUUGCAAACACUAAGACAUGAUUAACCAAUAUUAAGUCCAUAGGUCUUCCACCAUAGUAGAGCUGCUAAGGUCUUUCUGGUGUUGACUUGUCUCGGCUGGACAUAGUGGGUAAAUUGCAUUGGGGGGCUGGACCUCUCUAUAGACAUGAGAUGUUGUAGGGGUAAAGGUGGGGUUGGGCACCAAUAACUGUUUGGUGAGGACUCAAUGACGACUUUAUUUCUACGGUAAUACGGUGGGUCUAACUUAAUUAAGGAAUAGGACCAAUAACUGUUAGGUGAGGUCUUCAUGACUUAGAGACCAAGUAGCACUGCAACAUGCUUGAGAAGCAUUGUACAAGAGUUGUACACUCAUCCAUUUAUGUGUCACCAAUAACUGUUAGGUUAGGUGGCAUGUAAAUCGGUGGGACCGCAGUACCCACUAGAAAUCCUAGUCGUGCAGGAUUUUCGUUUUCCUACCAGGAAAGUGUGAGGAAUUCGAAAAAAUAGUGGGAGGUACAUUUGUUCUAAAAGGAUCCUAGAACAAUUAGGAUCAAGUACAAAAUCUAACUAGAAUCUUUACUCUCUGCAGAUCACAAUGUCAGCCUCAAACCCUUUGACCCGUAUUCUUGAGACCAACCGACUGACCGGUACAAAUUACAAAGACUGGCUUAGAAACCUCAAAAUCGUUCUGAGUUGCGAGAAAAUAGGCUAUGUGCUCGACAAUGAUAUCUCCACAUUAUCAGCACGUCCGACCACUGAUCAGCAUGCGACGCAUGAAAAGUGGACAGACGAUGAUAUUAGGGUCAAGUGCUAUAUCAUGGUAUCCAUAUCCAAUGAACUCCAAUGCCAGCAUGAGAAUAUGAAGACUGCUAGGGACAUACUAGCACACCUACAAGAGUUGUAUGGUGAGCAGAGUCGCACAGCUCGUUUUGAAGUGUCCAAAAGGCUCUUCAAGGCAAAAAUGCGCGAGGGGCAGUCUGUCCAUGAUCACGGUCUGACUAUGAUCAAGGACCUAGAGGAGCUUGAGAAGCUCGAUAUGAACAUGCACAAGGAAUUGCAAGUAGAUCUGAUCCUGCAAUCCCUUCCUGAUUCAUUUGGACAGUUUAUAGUAAACUACCACAUGAAUAAGAUUGAAUGCACUAAGACUGAACUGUUAAACAUGUUGGUAACUACUGAGGGAGCAUUGAAAGGUUCAAGGGGCAAUGUCCUUGCUGCUGAGUUGACUUCUGGUUCCAAAAGAAAGUCUACUUGGAAGAAAAAGAAGCCUGCAAAGAAGCAGAAGAAAGACAAGAAGCCAAAGAAGGAAGUUCAAAAGAAAAAGGCUAAUGACAAAGGAAAAUGUUUCUACUAUAAUAUCGAUGGUCACUGGAAGAGGAACUGUCCUUCAUACCUCGAGAGCCUGAAGAACAAGAAGGCAGACACACCUUCAGAAGGUAUGUUAGACUUGCUCGUGAUUGAAACUAACCUUACGGUUUCCUCUACUUCUAGUUGGGUUAUAGAUUCUGGUUCUAGUGCUCACUUAUGCACUACUAUGCAGGGUCUAAAGGAAAGUAGAAUGCUGGCGGAAGGUGCGGUAACCCUCCGGGUUGGCAACGGGGCAAAAGUUGCUGCUAUGGCUGUGGGCACCUACCCUCUGCGACUACCGUCUGGUUUUGGUUUAUUACUUAGAGACUGUUAUUAUGUACCUGCUGCUAGCAGAAAUUUGAUUUCUGUUUCAUGUCUAGCACAGGAAGGUCAUGUUUUUACAUUCGACAAAGACUGCUGUUCUGUUUAUUUCAGAAAUAAAAUAGUCACACGUGGUUUUAUGAUUGACAGUCUGUAUCAUAUGCAUAGAGAUGUAUCUGUAAAUGUGUCUGAGCAAGAAGUGAGUGCCAAAGGAUCCAAGAGAUCCAGGGAUGAAAUAAACCAAAAGUAUUUGUAGCACCUCAGGCCUGGCCAUAUUGGAGAGGACAGAAUGAACAAAAUGGAUAAAGAUGGGCUUCUCAGCUCAUUGACUUUCGAGUCAUAUCCAGUUUGCGAGUCCUGUCUUCAAGAAAAAAUGGCUAGAUUGCCCUUUGUAGGACAUGAGAAGAGGACCACUGAAAUACUUACUCUGGUACAUACAGAUAUGUGUGGCCCAUUCGAUGUGCUAGCCAGGGGUCGUUAUUCAUACUUCAUUACCUUUACUGAUGAUUAUUCACGGUAUGGGUAUGUGUAUCUUAUGAGACAAAUCUGAAUCUUUUGAAAAGUUCAAAGAGUUCAGAAAUGAAGUAGAAAAACAAACUGGAAAAUCCCUUAAGGCUCUUCGAUCAGAUCGAGGAGGAGAAUACCUUAAUAGAAAAUUUCGGGACUAUCUCAAGGAGAAUGACAUAGUCUCACAAUGGACUCCUCCGGGUAUGCCUCAACUCAACGGAAUGUCAGAGAGGAGAAAUCAGACUCUAUUGAAUAUGGUCCGGUCCAUGAUGAGCUUCACUAAUUUACCUAUGUUUCUUUGGGAAGAUGCCUUACUUACCGCAAUUUAUCUACUGAAUAGAGCUCCCUCUAAAUCCGUUCCUACCACACCAUAUGAGAUAUGGCAUGAUAAGAAACCAAAUCUUGGUCAUCUCAAGAACAUCCCAUGAGGACGGUGAUCGAUCCGAUGAGAUCAGUGCAUACUUUGCUUUUCUUAUGGAUGGACGAGACUCGAGUCCACGGCGUGGCGACACUGAAGUAAUAGUGUAGAUGCUUGUUAGAGAACAAGGGUACUGAGCGUGACCAAAACAAGAAGUCACUUGGAUGUCUAUCCACUCGUCAGUAACUUACUUGAUGUUGCAGUAGUGUGACUGGUCCUUUGACCUGCGGUGCUUCGGCCACUCACAGUGAGGUUAUUGUAGUUUGACUACACGUAUACAUAGUCUCUAGACAUAUGGAUCCAUGCAGUGUAGAUUGGCUGCAGUAGGUUCACUGUAGAAGUAGGGUAUGCACCUAUAUAGAAUCUAUCGACCUUGAUAGAUAAGGAGAGAUCCUAUAUGAUUUAUAAGACUGAGUUCGUAAGACCUCGGCCGGGGCAGUAUACACAGUGGAGAAAGAGUUUUCCACUCCCGAACUUAAGUCAAACAAAUCUUGACAUUAGUUGGAGAUGACCACGUCAUAGCCUUCCAUUAGUUGUGUGAUAAUGAGUCCAAUGCGUCUAUAUACAUUGGAGGCGCAUGCACGCACUGGUGCGUAUCGGCCAUUGGAAUUGUCAUACAAUAAUGAUGAGUUAGUUGCAACUAUUGGAAUGGGUGGUCCGGUUGGAUACUGACCAAAGUCGAGCUUGACCAUCUAUUAGAUAGUUUUCAUUGAUUGCUACAUGUUAAUGGUUGGACCUAACCGAAACUUUCAGUAGUGUCGAUAUACGCCUGCUGAAGUGAUUUCUGGGGCAAAAUGAUCACUGGAAUUUGUUUAGUUGAAACAAUUUGUUUUGAACCUACCUUUAGGUGUAUUUGGGUUGAUACCGACCAAAGCCGAGCCCGGGUGUAGCCUAUUGGAUUCUAGUGCCCACUAAAGAAUUAAGAGUAAUUUUUCGGAUUAGAGGUAGAGGCUCCUGAUUCGUAUAAAAUAGUGGAAGGAUCUUUAGACUAAAAUCCAUGUCUUUAGAUUAAUUGAUUCAUUUACUAAUAAGGCCUUGGUUUUGUCCUUUAUGCAGGAAUGUCCUCUUAUAAGUUCCCCCUAUCACUAUUGGAUAGUGAUGAGCCGACUAGACCUUUGAUUAAGAAUCAGGCUAACUCGAGUGCUAAUGAGAAAAGUCAGCAAAGGGUUGCUGGUCAAGGUGGUUAUAUGAUAACACCUUAUAAUUUCUCUGUAUGUGAUAUUAUGACUUGGGUAUUGGAUACCGGGAGUCCUUUUAAUAUCUGUAAUACGUUGAAAGGACUGCAAGUCAUUAAGAAUUUCGGUAACAAUGAGAAAUUCCUAAAUGUUGGAGAUAAAAGAACUGUUCCAGUUCUAGCAUUAGGUAAUAUUCAAAUUGUUUCAAAUUCUCACAUAAUUGCCCUUAUCAUUUUGGGGUUAUGCACUUGAGACUGCUUGUUAUAUUCUUAAUAGAGUUCGCAGUAAAUCUGUGACUAAUACUCAAUAUGAGAUAUGGACCGGUCAAAAGCUUGUACUCUCUCACCUUAAAGUUUGGGGGUCUCCAGCCUACAUCCGUCAUUUGAAAGCAGACAAACUAGAAGCUAGGUUGGAAGAAUGUCUUUUUGUCGGCUACCUAAAAGAAACCAAAGGCUAUUAUUUCUACCAGGCUAAUGAACAAAGCUUGUUCGUCAGCAAUAGAGAUUUCUUCUUGGAGAAGAAAUUCCUUGGUGAAGGAAUGAACAGCUCUAAGGUUGAGCUUGAUGAAGUUCAACAGGUAGAGGAUCAAACAACUAGAACUGAACCGUUGGAGUCUGAUUUGAUUGGAUCAAACUCAGAACCCAUUGAGGUAGCACCCGUUAGGCGAUCCGGUAGAGUACCGCAUCGACCGGAUAGAUACUACGGUUUUCUGGUCCGGGACGAUGAUCCCAUUAGUCUCGAUCAGAAUGAUGAGGAUCCCGUCGCCUAUAUGGAUGCUAUGCAAAAGUCUGACUCUGAUAAAUGGCUUGGAGCCAUGGAAUCUGAAAUGGAGUCCAUGAAGGUCAAUGAUGUAUGGACAUUGGUUGACCCACCCGAAGGAUUUAAACCCUUAGGGUGUAAGUGGAUUUUCAAACAGAAAAGAAGCGCAGACGGAAAGGUGGAAACCUAUAAAGCCCGUCUGGUUGCCCAGAAAUUUCGUCAGCAUUAUGGUAUUGACUAUGACGAAACAUUUUCGCCUGUGGCAAUGCUAAAAUUUAUUCGGAUCAUGCUUGCGAUUGCGGCCCAUUUGAACUUUGAGAUCUGGCAGAUGGAUGUUAAAACCGCUUUUCCAAAUGGAGAUUUAGAGGAACAGAUGUAUAUGAUACAUCCUGAAGGUUUUAUUUCUGCAAAUGAGUCUAAGGUGUGCAGGCUGCAAAAGUCCAUAUAUGGACUAAAGCAGGCAUCUCGAAGUUGGAACAUUCGUUCUGACAGGGUUNNNNNNNNNNNNNNNNNNNNNNNNNNNNNNNNNNNNNNNNNNNNNNNNNNNNNNNNNNNNNNNNNNNNNNNNNNNNNNNUGGAACAGUAAAAGAUAUUCAAUAGACUCUUCAAGGUUCAGUGGUGCAUUAUCUGUGGUCUCACCCAGCCACAAUUUACUGAGCAAGAAAUUGGAUGAUCAUAAAUGUAUAUGCUUCAGGAAGCCAAGAUCAUCUAGCUAUUGCAGGGAGCCACCACCUACAUCUUUUAAUUUCUACUGAAGGGUGUAAGAUUCGAAUUUCUGGAUCCUCCUUUUGUUGUCAUGGCCGUUUUGACUUAAUUCGUGGGGUUUUUAAAAUCCACCUAGAGGGUGGUGUACGUAUCGGUGAUACGGGCAGUAGUUAGGAUCGUCCUUUCGAUCCACCUCGUUGGGUCUUUCUUUUUGGUUCUGGGAGGGUUCGACGAUCUUCUUAUCAGCAGAGCUCCGCUCUUGCAAUUGGGUCGUUGCGAUUACGGGUUGGAUGUCUAAUUGUCCAGGCGAUAAUAUUAGGGUGGACACUGAAAGGCCUUAGCCAGAUUGAAAGAGACCUUUUUUUAAAAGUAUGUAUGUGCGUAGUUCAAGUUUUCGCCCGAUUCACCAAGGAAUAUUUUGGUUGCUUUUGGCGGAGCUUACUACUAGGUUGGAUCGGAUGUCAUGCCCAUUUGAUCCAUGUAAGGAACUACCAUGGAUUGAAUGACAAUAUAGAUCUGCAUUNNNNNNNNNNNNNNNNNNNNGCGGAGUACAUUGCGGCAUCGGAUGCGGCAAAGAAAGCUAUGUGACUACGGAAGUUCAUUGCUGAGCUCGGAGUUGCACCCUCCCUUAGUGGACCAGUCCUUGUCUAUUCGGAUAAUACUGGGGCCAUUGCUCAAGCUAAGGAACUAAAGGCACACCAGCGCACCAAGCACAUUCUGCGCCGGUAUCACCUUGUUCGUGAGAUAGUAGAACGAGGUGACGUUGAUCUUUAAAAGAUUAACGGGAAGGAUAACUUAGCCGACCCCUUCACUAAGGCCCUCAGUGUAAAGGAGUUUGACCAUCAUUACUUGAAGAUGAGUAUACGAUACUAUAGUGAUUGGCUUUAGUUCAAGUAGGAGUUGUUGGAAAUUGUGUCCUAAAUUCAAUCAAUUGUUGAUUGUAAAUAUAUUUGAAUCAAUUAUAAAUAACAUGGUAUUUAUUCAUCACCAGAACAUCUUCACAAACUUCGAUGUGAUGAAGUCCUUAGGACUGCUUUGUAUAAUGCAAUAUGAUUUUGUCACACAGGUCCUUAAAUGUUCAUAACCAUAUGAUAUACUAUUAACAGGACGAUAGUAUCAUCGGGCGUAGGUCAUUGUGUAUCAUAUUUGUUGGUUGUAUUCCAAACCAAAGAGUAUAGAGAUACUAGUAUGGUAUACAGGUGAAUGGUAGUGUACGUUCACUGAACGUGACCAAUUGACGGACUCUCUCUUGUCAAGAGUUGUUCCGAGUGGAUAUGGGUAUAUGUAUCCUUUAGACCUGAGAUUGCAACCGGUGGCUUGCAAGCAACUCACUGUACUUUGGUGCCGGACUACCUGGAUUUCUAAUCCAGCGACGGAAGGUUUCUGGAUCCAGUCAAGUACUUGUGGUAGUCAGUUGCAGAUCAAGAUGGGAUUGACCUCCCUUAGAAAUAAGGGUGAAUGCCUUGUGUUUUCAAUUAAGUAGUACCCUGGCUAGGAAAAGUCAAAUCACUAUCACUUGACUUAUCGAAUUGAAACAUAUUUCCGAAUGGAUCGUUUCAGGGUAGACAGACUCUGAACCCACCCUAGGUAUUUUCUGGUCAAGAGGAUGAAUUAUGCGGUAACCAUAGUCUAUAGGUUCUAGAAUGUUGCUUUGCAUCUAUUCGGCCUAUCCGGUCGUCGGGUCCCAUUGCUAGAUGGUUACUUCGAUUAGUGCAGGAAGUGUUCUUGUACUACCGGCUUAGCUUCGAACCUGUGAGGUCACACGCUUAGAAGUUUCUGGAUUGAUCAAAUGGCUAAUUCACGAUUGAGAAUCGUCUAGAGGUAAAAUAGUCAAUGUGAUUGACUGAUUGCCCUAAGCAAUUAUUGCUUGGAGAAGUUAAUUACUGAUUGGAUUACUGAUUAGACUCAAUUUGAUUGAGUAAUAGAGAUUGGGCUUGACAAAUUCAAAUAUGAUUUGAAACUGGUAAAACCGUAAUUGACACCAAAAUUGGUUUGGUAAAAAUAUUUAAUUUGCCUCCAACCAAAUCAGAUUUGGCUUGAGUCAGAUUAGAUUAAAAUCAAUUAUGAUCCUAGUAUGACUAGGACUCCCUUCUCUUUGUGGGACCCACGUCCUGCCUAGGUGGGACCCUCAUACUGUAUGUGGGACCCACGUCCUGCAUUUAUGGGACCCACAUACUGUAUGUGGGACCCACAUCCCGGCCACCUCACCCCUUUGCAUGCGUGACACGUGGCGGAGCAGGACACCUCUUUUUCUUGCAUGUGUGACGUGACACCUCAUCGGACACCUUAUAGGGACACCUCACCCUCUUCUUGGCCUAUAACUAGGCCACCCCUCUUCCUUCUUCUCUAGAUGAAGAGCACUAGAGAAAGAGAGUGAGAGGAGAGAGAAGCUCUAAAAGUGAAAGCCCAAGAAGGAGUUCUUGAGCUGUGAAGGUCCAUCCUCUUCCUUUUUCUCCCUUUCAGCCAACCUUCGGCCUCUCUGCGAGCUAGCACUCCCCGGAAAGCUGAUCAUUCCGGAGCUUCGCGUGGACGAGUCAUCGAGGCCGGACGCUUAUGCGGCUGCAAAGCAUCCUUGAAGGAACCCCUUUCUAAAGGUAAGAGAUCUUAUCUCUUUUACAGUUGAGAUAUGAUCUCAAUCUUCAAAUCACAAGAAGUUGUGAUUUAUGCAUAUUUAUUUGAAUCACACAAUCCUCGGGAUCUGAGGGCUUUGUGAUAUUUGGUGUCAAAGCAAAGGAUUAGUGGACUAUCCGACUCCCGGAAACUCUCACGCGUGAUUGUGUGACGAAGCGUGGCUCUCCACCCGGAGGCUCAUAUGAUGAGUGCUUUGAUAGGCAUGCGCAGGUGUCACCCUAUGUAUUGGGACUAAGCCCGCACCACAUGUGAUGUGCAGUUGAAGACUGUCUUCGACUGGUACCAGAGUCAAAAUAUCUAAAAUAUCAAGCAUGUUUUGGGUUAAAAUGUUUAACUUGUUCUUUCCGCAUAAAAUUUUCUGAAAUUCAUGCUCAGCCCUCCACACGCAUUCCAUCACGCACGCCCCUCCCCUUUUUCUUUGUUGGUGUGGCAACACAAGAGGGGCCGGCGCCCCUCUUGGAAAAAGAUCAAGGGCUCCUAAUUUGUAGGAGCCCUACAUACCUUUAAAAGGAGAUGAAGGGGGCGGCACCUAGGGCAAUUGAAGUCCCCUUCAUCCAGCCGUGGCCUCCUCCUUCUCCUUGGUCUUCAACCGCAACCAAAUAAGGAAAAAGAAAGCUCUUGGCGGCCCCUCCUUCAUCUCUUGUUUGGGUUUCAGCGCAGGCAAGGGAAAAGGCUGCAUCUAGCUUUUGAUUCUUCUUCAAGACUCAUCCUUCUUCUUCCUCCUCCCAAGCAUAAUCAACGGUUGAUUCAAAGGGAGGAAAUCAGCCAUCUAAAGUAGUCUCUGCAAGGGAGCUAGCACCUCGGGGAGACAAGGAAGCUUUGAUCGGUUCUCUACUUCGUGUGGAUACCCGUAGAGGCCGGACACGUGUGCGGCUUCAAGCAAACCUUCAUCCUAAACCACGAACUUCAGUUUGCGGUGAUCAUCUACCCGCACAAGGUGAAGAUCUGAUCUUCCUAAUGGUUUAAAAGUUUUUAAUCCUAAUCUAUCUACGAAUGGUUUUUGAAAUUCAUGAGAUGAACGUUGAUCCCGUGCAUGCCCAUUCCGCUGCAUCUGAAUUUUUUUUAAAUUUUCUGCGGCAUCGGCGGGUUCCCAACAGGUUCCGCCGACCAUAUUUAUACAAAUAAUACUAUACAUUAUGAUAAUUAAUAUUUGUAAAAAUUAUUGCACUAUCCGUAGACUGAACUGAAACUGUAACUGCUAACAAAGGAAAGAAGGAAAGAAAACUCCUAGCUAGAGAGUAAUGUCAUAGUGAUCAUAAUUGUAAUUAUUAUAAUGUUAUUACAACAAAAACUAUUGAAUUAUUAUACGAUAAUUAGAUUAUUAUAUCAUAGUUGUAUAUAACAAUGUUUAUGAUGUUAUCAUCAUAUUGUUAUGUAACAUAAUAUAAUAUGAUAUUACUACAAUAUUAUCUACCAUAUAAUCAUCACAUAUUGAUAUAUUAAAUAGUAUAAUUUUAUAUUGCAUCAUGUUGUUGUAUUAAAAUAUAAUAAUAUAUUAGCAUUAAUGAAGUAGACUACUAAAGUAUUUUUCCAAUAAUAUGUAAGGAAUAACAUAAAAUAGAUAGUAAUUCUUUAAAAUAAAAUAUUUUAAUUUAAUUAAAUAAUAUGAUCUCUUCCAGUAUAACAAUUAUCUAAUAUAUAUUAUAAUGAUAUAAUAAUAAAAGUAUAAUAACAAUUAGUGCACUAUCAUAAUGAUGAUAGAAAUUUUAUUGUUAUAUUAUAGUUGUAUCUAGUAUUAGUACAAAUAUUGUAAUAAUUAUAUUAUUCUCAAAAUUAGUUGAAAUUAUAUUAACUAUAUAUCAAUGAUAAUAGUUACAUGAUUUAGUAUUUAUUACGAUAAGCUUAAUAAUCAUUAUAUCACAUAUUAAAUAUAAUAAUGAAAAUUAUUGUUAUAUUCUGCUUAAAAUUAUAAUAGUAGUAAUAUUAUUAUAAGAUUAUUAUAAUAUUACAAAAUAGUUAUUGCAAUAUAUUUGUAAUAUGUAUGAUUUAAUAGCUAAUAAUUAUCUAAAACAAUCGAUAUAAUAUAAUAUGGUUUUAUUAUAAUAUAAUUAUAAUUACAAUAGAAACACCAUUUUUAAAUGAUUAUUGCAAUCCUAUAACAAUAACUAUGAUAAAUUAUAUUACUAUAAAAUUAGUCAAUAUUAUAGUAAUUAUACAUUACUAUUGCACUAACAAAUAUAUUUUAUGGUAUAUAUUAUUAUAACAAUUAAUUGACAUUUAAUAUGUUAGUAUUGUAUAUUAUUAAGUUGCAAUUGGUAUUGUGGUCAUUUUUUACUGCAAUACCAAAAGAAAGUUUUGGGGUCUUUUUUGCAAAUCCAAUGUAAUUGAAUUGCAAGCAACCAACAAGCAUUUUCUUAAAAUAUAAACAUGGAGUUCUACUAAGUUUUAGAAAUUUGGAAGCAUUUGUGAUUUGGUAUUAAUUUUUUGAAGACAAAGGUAAAUUUUCCUAUAUGUAAAAAGUUAUUUUGAAUUCUAAGAUAUCUUUUAAGGGGAAAGACGAGAAAAUAGGUCCAUGUAGUAGAUAUAGACCCUAGAUGUAUUCACAUCACUUGGCUCUUGUAAUCAUAUUUAUUAUUUAGUAGCUUAAAUCUUAUAUGUAUGCUAAAUUAUGGUUUUAUUUUCAUAUUGUCUAAAUCAUAAGUUAAUAUGUUUUUACAUCGUAUUAAUAUGAUAGAAAUCAUUGCAUUUGAUUCAAUAUUUAUAUGUAAUUGCGAUAAUUGCAUUAAAAAUUCUAUAGAUACUUAUAUGUAAUGUUUCAUUAAAUUGUAGGCAAAUAAUUGACCAUAAUAUAUUCCAUUAACAUAGUUUAUUGGUUCUUUUUUCUCAAUGAACAAAUUUAUUGGUCCUUAAAAGGCGUAUCAUUUGCUUACUUUUAUACUUUAGCUCACACACUACCAUAAAUCCAAACAUCGUGAAUUGGAUAGCAUAGCCAAACAUUAUGUUACAUGAGUCCUUGAUGGUUUUAUUUUUCUCUAAGUUUUACUUAUUUUUCACAAUUUUUUCUUAUUUUUUUGACUGAAACUCCAAAACAUAGAUAUGAAUUGGAUAGCAUAGACAAACAUGAUGUUACAUGAGUCCUCGAUGGUUCUAUUUUUCUCUAACUUUUACUUAUUUUUCACAAUUUUUUCUAAAUUUUUUGACUGAAACUCCUAAACAUAGAUAUGAAACUAUCAAAAUCAUUGAAACCAUUGAAAUCAAAACACAAUGGGCAAGGCCAGAUGUUCAAGCCUUUGCUUUCAAUAGUGCAUGGAGUCAUGGACUCUUUUAAAGAUGACAUCCUAUGCCAAAUCCCUAACUAAACAAAAUUGAGUUCUGGAGGCAUGACGCAGCAUCGACCAAAUAUAGGUUCGUGAUAAAUGAAGAGAAACAAAAGAAAGAAUUAAGCUGCUCAACGUGAUUGAGAGUAAUCAAGACUUAUGAGCGUACAAGGAGCAAUAAAAGAAGCAUUUCUUAGUUAUUUUAGCCUACAAAGAGUUCAAAUUGUGCAACUAGUUAAUCAAGCAAUAAUCUUAUCGGCAAAUUAGGGAUAUAGAGACAUGAUCAAGUACAACUCAGAGCUUCAAUCAUCAUCCAACAGCUCAGAUUUCCAGUCGAUUUGAAGCCUACUACAGAUUACUUAAAUAAAGCAUUUGUGGGGUACUUUAAAAAGUGAAUACGGAGUUGGAUGGGUUGUUGACCAGAAAGAGAGUUUUUGAUUUCCUCUUUCAUCAUAUUUUGUACGCGUUAUAUAUAUUGGUUUAGAAUAUACCAAACGGUAAGAGUAUAUUAUCUUUCUGCAAGACUUUUAGUUAAAAUAUAAGAAUAAAUCUGUGUGAGGAAAUGUGAGAUUUUCUCUCGCGCAUUUUCUCCUACGUCUUUAUCAUCUCUCCUUUCUCUCAAAACCCGAAAUUUACAUGGUAUCAAAGCCUUCAUUAGGUUAUUUUUCAGCUGGAUGUAAAAAAUGAUUUCAUUCAGGGACACUUGCAAGAGGAAGCUUACAUAUGGCAACCUCCUGGGUGUGUUGUUCCAGGGGAUUCUAGGAGUGAUCGCAAGUUGAAUGAGGCAAAUUAUGGUCUAAACAGUCUCCUCAGGCAUGGUUUGGAGAGUUUGGUAAAGCUGUCACGAAAUUUGGACUCAAGCAGUGCAAAAUAGAUCAUUCAAUGUUUUGUCACAGCUCCACACAUGGGAGAAUUAUUUGGUAGUAUAUGUUGAUGAUAUAUUCAUCACUAGUGAUACUCAGCAAGAAAUCGGAAAAUGGAAGUAUCUGCAACAACAAUUUCGUACCGAGGACCCAGGACAGCUUAGAUAUUUCUAAGCUAUCAAGGUUGUUAGGUCCAAAGUUGGAAACAGCAUGUCUCAAAGAAAAAAUGUGCUGGAUUUACUUGAAGAGACAGUGUUGUUGGGUACCAAACCAGUGGAUACUCCUUUGGAUCCUAAUAUUAAGUUGGUGGCGGAUCAAAGAGAUCUACUUUCCAAUGCAAGUAGAUAACAGUCAUUACUUGGCAAACUAAAUUAUCUUACAAUAACUAUACCAGCUAUCUCCUUUGCUGUGAGUGUGUGAGUAUUGUUAGUUCAUGGCGGCUCCUCGUGCAGCUCACUGGAGUUAUGUGAUUCCUAUUGUAAAAUAUCUGAAAGGAGCUCCAGAAAGAGGAAUACUAUAUAAAUGUAAUGGCCAUCUCUAGGUUAGGAUAUACUGAUGUUAAUUGGGCUGGUUUUCCUAUAGAUAGAAGGUCAACUAUGGCAUAAUGCACUUUCUUAGGAGGUAACCUUGUCACACAUGGAGGAGUAAGAAACAAACAGUGGUUGCUCAUUUGAGUGCUGAGACAUAAUACAGAGCCACGGAACAUGCUGCUUGUGAGGUAAUAUUGCUAAGAUAUCUUCUUCAAGAGAUUGGCUUCAAUGUUGGUAAACCUCUAAAGCUUUUCUAUGACAAUCAAGCUACAACCACAUUGCCUCCAAUCCUGUCAUUCACGAACAUGCGAAGAACAUUUAAGUUGAUUGUGAUUAUGUUCAUGAAAAAAGUAAUGUGCACCCUGAUUUCCACUUAUCUGCAUUCUGGUUACCAGCUUGCUAAUUUGCUUACCAAGUCCUUCAGGCAAAAUCAGGUUGAGUUUAUAUGUUCCAAGAUUGGCUUAUAUGAUACAUUCAAUGGCUUGAGGGAGAGUGUCAUAUAUAUUGGUUUAGAAUAUACCCAAAUAGUGAGGGUAUAUUCAUCUUUUAUUUUUCUACAAGACUUUUAGUAUAUAAAUCAGUCCAUGUGAGGGAAGGCACUGGAUUUUCUCUUUCACGUUUUAUCUUACAUCUUUCUGUUCUCCCCCUUUUCUCAAUUCCCUAACUUACAAUAUCUAAGGAAAGGAUUUCAGUGCCAAAUUGAGGGUGUUUUAUUUCUUUUUUGUAUAGAAUCAUAGCGGAACUAUAAUACAAAGGGCUUGUGGGUCUACUCUAGCUUCCUCCUUUUUCUUCUUUUUUUUCUGGAAGGAGCGAGGCAUGGGAGGGCGAGUUUUGGCUGCAAUAUUAACUAAAUUCGGAAUUAUUUUGAUGAAAGAAGAAGAGAAGACAGGUCUAACAACCUCUUCUCCUAUUUGAUCUCUUUCAUCUCUUUGAUCUCUCCCCAAUUCUAUUUUCUCUUUAGUUUUCUCUAAUAUUAUUCUUUUUGCUGCCGCUAUUCAAGCAGUAUAUAAAACUUCACUGCUUAAGUAAGUUUCUAGGGUAAAACUAAUAUCUAUCAAUGAUAGUAAUUUCAUUCCGAAUUGCUAGGUUCAGGGCAUACCUAUCCGUACACAGUUGAAACCAAGACAAGAUGGGGUUUUAGCUCGGUAUAAGCCUCAAACCAGCCCGAAUCGACCUAUAUCGGUUCGAACCGAGUGGUACUGCAUUGCACCGGGGUACUGUAUCAUAUUAACAUGUACCACCGAAUUUUAAAUGGUACCAUGAUAAACAAAAGUGAGAAAAAGAGAUCGAGAGCUAUAUCAGUACGGGGUACAUAGCGUACCGAACAUCCCAUACAAAAUCGGUAGUGUAUCAGUACAGUAUCCAAUACCGAGAUUGCAGACCUUAAUCUCUAUUUCUCUUAGAAAAGUUAAUGCUUACGUAUAUACAUAUAUAUAUAUAUAUAUACAUAUAUAUAUAUACAUAUAUGUAUAUAUCAGAAGGUAAACAAAAGGUGUCCAAGUGCACGAGGUUUCUAUCACUGCAGGGUUUGGGGAGGGUCAAAUAUACAAAGCCUUACUCCCAUACCACAUUGUCAAAUGCUAAUGCAACUGGUGAAUGUAUUGCAUUUCUUAUCGACUACCGAGCAUCACAAUGACUUCUCAUGUUAAUUUUAUUGCUAUUUAUAUUUUUAGAGAAAAACAUUUUAAGCAUAUGAUAGACCUAAAAAUUGAUUCACUUAAAGUAUUAGGUUCCUUGGGUUCUAGAAAGAUAAAAUAUAUGGGAAGCACUUGAAGAGUUCACUAAAUUUAGAUAAAAUUAAUUUAAGAAAAGAAUAUACAAAAAUGUUGAUUUCGAAAAGUUUAAACAAACUGCCAACCGCUUUAAGAGUUAUUCCACAAUUUCUUAGGCCCUAGUUGGGAUUGCUAUUGGUAGUAGUUUUUGGAGCUUUUAAAAAGUAAAGCUUUCACAAAAUGUUAUUUGUUGUUUGGUAACUAUAUUUCUAAAAUUCUGUAGCACUUUAACAUAUGUUUGGUAACCAAACUGAGAGUGCUUUCGGUAUGACAAAAGGAUAAUAAAGAAUAUUGCAUAAUAUUGUACAGUAGAGUAUAAUACAAUGUAAUAUUCCAUAUUACUACAUUUUAAAAUAUUAUUACAUAGUAUAAUAUUAUUGUAGUGUUAAAUAAUAUGAUGUAACAUUAUAGUUUAAUAUAAUAUUAUACUAUAAUAUAAUAUUAUUAUAUUUACAAUGCGAUAUAACAUAAUAUAAAGAAAUAUAAUAUGAUAUGACAUAAUAUAAUACAAUAUAAUACAAUACAAUAAAAUAAUAUAAUAUAGCUAAUGUUCGUGUGUUAUGUUUUAAAGGGACAAAUGUAAUUAUGAGAUUUGUUCGUGGGCAUUCUAGUCAUCACAAAAAUUUCAUUAAAGUUAAAACAGCUUCAUGACAUCUGCAAGAAAGCACUUUUUGGAAAAAAACUCCAUUUCAAAUAAACCUUUUCAGCCAAGGUACACCAUCUCGAUACCAAGGCCCAUAUUGGGGCCGCCCUGUCGCUAUGCCGAUGCAUCCAUUACGAGGUCGGUUCGGCGUACUGCGUGUGAAUAGCCUCCCCGUACUGUGUACCAAUGUCGAACCGGUAUGGUAUUGUAUAGCAAAUCUAUACAAGCUGGUUCAAUAUGGUAUGGCGUACCAUAUUUUCAGCUUUCUGGCAAAGCCAAAAAAGCUUUCAGAUUUUUUUACCAAACACUACUAUGCCAUCCAGAAAUGCUUUAAGAGGGCCAAAAAGUGCUUUGACUCGCCAAAAGCUUUGGAAAAUGGGACCUUAGUCCCAUUUAAUCCAAUUUUAAUCCAUAGGUGGCACUAAAAUUUCCUUCUACUAAUUUUUGAGUUAGAAACACAACCCGAUAAUCCACAAUUACAUCUAAGCAAUGCCAUUUCUCCUAGAUAAAAUUUGAAAAAAGUUAAUAUUCUAGCCCAAUUAUAAAGACAACUCUUUAGCAUGUGUUGUUUUCAUUACUCCAUAAAGAUAAUUAAGAUCUAUCCUUGAAGUUGGCCACUUGCCAACUUUGCCGAGUUUCCAGCCACCAUAAUUAUUGAUAUCAGCCUAAAAAUUGGAGUGAACCAAUCUUAAGGCUAACAAACAGAAAGUUGCGCACCAUAAAUUGUGUAUGAGAAGAGUUUGAACAAGAUGGUAUCAAUUUUCUGGAAUGAAUAAUUGACGAAGAAAAUUCUGAAAAUGAGUCCUUAGGUGACAGAUUUGGAAAGAGUGGUCCAUAGAAAAUGGAGCAUCAAAGCGAAGACUAGGAAAUUAAACUUCUUCUAGGACAGUAUUUUAAAAUGCUAUGCAUGAGGCCACAGAUGCAGCUCCUUAUGCCUAUGUGGUCCCCUGCAUGUACAGCCUGCUAAUCAUUGUGUGACUACAUAUGCGGCCUUUUUAGAAUUAUAUGACCUCAAACUUGCCCACUCAUACAGAGGCCCAUACAAAUAGGGUAGGUUCAAGUUGAUGGUUGGUUGAUGCUGGUUUUAGAUGGACUGGAUGUGUGUACCAAUAAUGUCAAUAUGUUAAUUAUGUUAUAAUUAUUGGUAAUUUGUUAUUAAGAAUUUAAGUAUUAAGAAAUAAGCACCAAUUGCUAGAUGUCAUUGUUAUUGUAUUGUUAUUAUUAUUAAUUGUAUCUAAUAUAUGUUGUUUAUUCUUAAAUAUUUAAAAUACUAACCACAUAUACAACCUGCAUAAUGCAUAUGCCCUAUGCAGUCCCUUGACCACUAGCAUACCAAGCCACCUUUUAAAACACUUUUUUAGGAUAUCCAUGAAUAUAAACAUGAUCAAGGUUGAAAUCUACACUCAACUUGAGUGCUGCGCCACACUUAUUGCAACAUGAAUUUCAAUUAUAGAAACUAUGAUCAGCACAUGGUGUAACAAGAAAUAUGAGGCCUUACCUGUUCAUAUGAGACAUCAAUUACAUUAAGAGCCUGUGACAUUUGAACCAUCCCUAGUUCACCUACUGGAGAUGGAGCAUUUAUUCCCCCUAUGAUUUUUGGGGCAACAAAAGCACAAACCUGCAAUGAAGACCAUUCAAAUAAAGAUUGCCAUGGAAGAAGCGUCCCUCAUACAAGAGCAUGAAACAGUAUUCUGGGCUUGAAAAUGAACGUAAAGAACUAAUGAAGUGAAGAUACUAAUAUGCAAGCUAUAUACAGGUAACAGAUUCUAGAUACACACAGAAAGACUAUUCAUGCUAACCAUUCUGUCCUCAUUCAGAAAUCCUUGAUUAUGAAGAGUUUACCGGUAGAGAACUAUGCCAAUAAUAGCAUCAAAUUUACCAGUUCAAACACAUAACACAAGAAUAGAGGUCCUUGCAAGGAUUAAAAAUUUAGAACCAGAUAUAGCUUUCAGCAACAAGUUAAAACACGAAAGGAAAAAGUUAACAAAUAUCAAAAGUGUAAAGAAACACAAUUUGAUUGUCAGAAUGACUUGACCAUUCAUCAGA